UUUGAGCUUUAAAGUCUCUCUGACUUUAAAGACUGUUCUUCCCACUACAAUGGGGCUAUUUUGUUGUUGUUGAUCUCUAAAACAUAAAACAAAACAACACACCUAGUUGUAAAAUGACAGCAUAAUUAGUUUUACUACUGUUCUGGCAUCCAGCAAGGAGUGGAAUGCAGUUUAAAAAGGCCCAAGAGAUCAAGAGAGAGAUUUAAAGUCUCAGCAUGGCCCCUCAAAGGUUUGCUAUUUUGGAUAAGGAAACUGAGCCACAGAUUUGAAAUGGCAGGUGCAAGGAGUCAUAGAUAAAAGAAAGAAAAGCCUUUGAGUGGCUGAGACACGCUGUUAACUCGUGCUAAAGCUCACGGCUGGCUACGAACCCCACCCACUGCAGAGCCGGGUCUCGGAAGCUGCCUGCACACCAGUGGGGCAGUUGAGGCAAGCGCCUUGGCAGAGCCCCUCGUGGUCGGAGGCACAGCGAUGAAAUACUUUUACGUUCAGCAGUAGCAGGUCUGCGCAGAAGCAUUCAAGAACCAGUGACUAAAUGUAUACAACUAUGUACAUGUGUUUAUAAAGCAUCCCUUAAAAUA